rnacentral:misc_RNA from 1 species
AGCAGCCGCGGUAAUUCCAGCUCCAAUAGCGUAUAUUAAAGUUGUUGCAGUUAAAAAGCUCGUAGUUGAAUUUCGGGGUUAGUAGGUUGGUCAUGCCCCUGGUAUGUACUGGUCUCACUGAUUCCUCCUUCCUGAUGAACCUUAAUGCCAUUAAUUUGGUGUUUUGGGGAAUUUGGACUGUUACUUUGAAAAAAUUAGAGUGUUUAAAGCAAGCUAACGCUUGAAUACAUUAGCAUGGAAUAAUGAAAUAGGACGUUCGAUCCUAUUUUGUUGGUUUCUAGGAUUGACGUAAUGAUUAAUAGGGAUAGUUGGGGGCAUUAGUAUUCAAUUGUCAGAGGUGAAAUUCUUGGAUUUAUUGAAGACUAACUACUGCGAAAGCAUUUGCCAAGGAUGUUUUCAUUAAUCAAGAACGAAAGUUAGGGGAUCGAAGACGAUCAGAUACCGUCGUAGUCUUAACCAUAAACUAUGCCGACUAGGGAUCGGAUGAUGUUAAUUUUUUAAUGACUCAUUCGGCGCCUUA